UACGUAGGUGGCAAGCGUUAUCCGGAAUUAUUGGGCGUAAAGAGCGCGCAGGUGGUUGAUUAAGUCUGAUGUGAAAGCCCACGGCUUAACCGUGGAGGGUCAUUGGAAACUGGUCGACUUGAGUGCAGAAGAGGGAAGUGGAAUUCCAUGUGUAGCGGUGAAAUGCGUAGAUAUUAGGAGGAACACCAGUGGCGAAGGCGGCUUGCUGGACGACAACUGACGCUGAGGCGCGAAAGCGUGGGGAGCAAACAGGAUUAGAUA
rnacentral:rRNA from 1 species